rnacentral:rRNA from 2 species
AUGUCUUUUUGAUAAUAAUUUAAGGUUUGAUCUGCUCGAUGAUUGUUUAAAUUGCCGCAGUAUUUUGACUGUGCUAAGGUAGCAUAAUCAUUAGUUUUUUAAUUGGAAACUGGAAUGAAUGAUUGGACAAGAAAAUUUCUGUCUUAUUUUAAUGUUAUUUUAAUUUUAUUUUUAAGUGAAAAAGCUUAAAUUUUUUUAAAAGACGAGAAGACCCUAUAGAAUUUUAUAUUUUGCUUAUUAAUUUUUUUUAGUAAUUUUAUUUAAUAUAAAAUAUUUAGUUGGGGUGACUUGAAGAUUUAUCAAAUUCUUUAAAUAAUAUGUUAAUGAUUUUUAAUUUUAAAUUUUAAUUGUUUUAUAUUUAAAAUAAAUUACCUUAGGGAUAACAGCGUAAUUUUUCUUUAUAGUUCUUAUAAAAAGAAAAGUUUGCGACCUCGAUGUUGGAUUAAAAUUAAUUUAGGGUGAAGUAGCUUUAAAAUUAGGUCUGUUCGACCUUUAAAAUUUUACAUGAUCUGAGUU